rnacentral:RNase_P_RNA from 1 species
GCGGAGAGACAGACGGUCGCGCCGCGCGAUAGAGCGCGUCGAGGAAAGUCCGGGCUUCGUGGAAGAAGGAUGACGGAUAACAUCCGCCGGCCGCUUCGGCGGUCAGGGAAAGCGCCGCAGAAAAGAUACCGCCGGGUUUUCCGGUAAGGGUGAAAAGGCGAGGUAAGAGCUCACCGGCGGGCGGGCGACCGUCCGGCCAGGCAAGCCCCAUCCGAAGCAAGGCCAAGCAGGGAACAGCUCCUCGGAGCGGGGGAUCUUCCACCCCCUUUGUUCCCGGGUCGGCCGCUAGACCGGGCGGGCAACCGUCCGGCGAGAUAAAUGAC